rnacentral:rRNA from 1 species
UGCGUAGGGUGCAAGCGUUGUCCGGAAUCAUUGGGCGUAAAGCGCGUGUAGGCGGUCCGGUAAGUCCGCUGUGAAAGUCGGGGGCUCAACCCUCGGAUGCCGGUGGAUACUGUCGGGCUUGAGUACGGAAGAGGCGAGUGGAAUUCCUGGUGUAGCGGUGAAAUGCGCAGAUAUCAGGAGGAACACCAAUUGCGAAGGCAGCUCGCUGGGACGUUACUGACGCUGAGACGCGAAAGCGUGGGGAGCAAACAGG